GAACUUUCCAGAGAUGGAUUGGUGCCUUUCGGGAACUCUGACACAGGUGCUGCAUGGCUGUCGUCAGCUCGUGUCGUGAGAUGUUGGGUUAAGUCCCGUAACGGGCGCAACCCUUGUCCUUAGUUACCAGCACGUUAUGGUGGGCACUCUAAGGAGACGUGCCGGUGACAAACCGGAGGAAGGUGGGGAUGACGUCAAGUCAUCCAUGGCCCUUACGGCCUGGGCUACACACGUGCUACAAUGGUCGGUACAAAGGGUUGCCAAGCCGCGAGGUGGAGCUAAUCCCAUAAACCGAUCGUAGUCCGGAUCGCAGUCGUGCAACUCGACUCGCGUGAAGUCGGAAUCGCUAGUAAUCGUGAAUCAGAAUGUCACGGUGAAUACGUUCCCGGGCCUC
rnacentral:rRNA from 1 species